CAAAGUUAAUCGUGUUUAUGAUGUCGAAUAUCGACGUCAUAAACACCAAAGUUAAUCGUGUUUAUGACGUCGAAUAUCGACAUCAUAAACACCAAAG
rnacentral:miRNA from 1 species